GUGGGGAAUAUUGGACAAUGGGCGAAAGCCUGAUCCAGCAAUGCCGCGUGAGUGAUGAAGGCCCUAGGGUUGUAAAGCUCUUUUACCCGGGAUGAUAAUGACAGUACCGGGAGAAUAAGCUCCGGCUAACUUCGUGCCAGCAGCCGCGGUAAUACGAGGGGAGCUAGCGUUGUUCGGAAUUACUGGGCGUAAAGCGCGCGUAGGCGGUUUUUUAAGUCAGAGGUGAAAGCCCGGGGCCCAACCCCGGAAUAGCCUUUGAAACUGGAAAACUAGAAUCUUGGAGAGGUCAGUGGAAUUCCGAGUGUAGAGGUGAAAUUCGUAGAUAUUCGGAAGAACACCAGUGGCGAAGGCGACUGACUGGACAAGUAUUGACGCUGAGGUGCGAAAGCGUGGGGAGCAAACAGGAUUAGAUACCCCAGUAGUCC
rnacentral:rRNA from 1 species